GCCAGUGUGGUGUAGUGGUCUGAGUGUUGGACUACCACUCUAGAGACCAGGGUUUGAAUCCCAGCUCUGCCA
rnacentral:tRNA from 1 species